GCAAGCCAGAACCAGCUGUUCAACACUAGUCGGUAUAUACUGGGUCCAUGUGUAUUUUUUUUUCUUAUCCCUGUUCAUUUCUGCACUGUCUUACAUGUUGCCAUUUCUACAUGUUGGGAACACGGCUGCCAGCAAAUCCAGCAGCCCACUCAGCAGAAGAGAGAAGUGUCUUCUCUGUGUUUAUACAUCAGUCACGGAGAAGGACUUGGUUGAUCUUGCCAUGAUUAACUGCCCACCCCUUAGAGGCAUCAUUGCUGAUGCCCUGCUCACAGAAGCAUCCCCCAGACAGAAAGCAGUCUGUUUCCAGAGGAAGAAGCUUGGGAAGAUUUUUUAUGUAAACAAAAUGGAAUAGCUGCUCUAACUUACUGAACCCAUCUCUACGUGAAGAUCCUCGGGAAGUGACGAUAAUCCACUCCCUCUGCACAGGACACAUCUCCCUCACUGUAGGACAUGAGACUGGAAACAUACACUGGCCAUCUGGGCAAGCACAUUCUAGCAGGAGCCAGAAGAAUAUUCAGGUCAGGCAAACUUUUUUUAAUUGGCUGUACCUAUGGCAUACAGAAGCUCCCGGGCCAGGGAUUGAAACCAUGCCACAGCAGUGACAGUUCCAGAUUAUACCAGAUACUUAACCUGCUGAGGCACAAGGGAACUCCCAUGCAAACAUUUUAAUGCAGCUCAACUGAUGUUUAGGUAAGAGAAAUGCAUCUAAGUUUCCGUUGUGGAAAGGGCUACUCCAAUGUAUCAGAUCUUGCUGAGAUCAAACCUCUAUAAAACACCUUUCUCCAGGUGGCCUCUAUCUCAAGGCUCCCCCUUGCCUGUUCUUUUGACACAAAAGCCUGUUUGCAGGCAAGAGGCACUUGGGCAAAUUUGGCAUCACAUUGACCCACUUCCUGGGUAUGCUGGCCCCAAUUCUGAACCCCAUUUGAGUAGCUGGUUCUCUGUCUUGUUCCUAAAACUCAGUGCCUCGUUCACAGCACAUUGCCUCUUUCUCCAUGCCCUCAAUCCCUGCCAGAGGACCAAAGCUCAACCUCUUUCUCAUCUGUCCUCUCUCAGAUGCUGAUAGAUGUCCCAGCCCAAUAACAGAGAACCUCAGACCUUUACUGGUCCCAUCUCCAAGCAUUGUCUCCUGAAUUCCCCACUGCCCUGCUCAACCCCAACACUCUAGUGUCGUCACCCCUGGUGCUGACUUUAGAGAAGCCACCUCUUAUUUACUGACAUUUCUGCUAGUGCCUCUCCCCACUUGGGGGUAGGUCUCGCCCAGUUCCAGCCUGACUCACCAGCUGUCUUAAGCAAUAUGCACCACGGCAGCUAUGACACUAAGUCAACAGCCCUAUAACCCCAUCUGUUAAAUGCAGUGUGCACACAGGUAAGAUGGAAAGUUUAGACAUACCCAUGGCCAAGUGACAGGCAGCCCAAUGCUGGAACCACAUUUAUACGUCCCCACAUACGCACUGUAAGAUAAACUUGUACAAUGGAGUUCAUGUAGGAAAAGAAUUAUACAACCUUGUUACAUCCCCUAAGUAAGAGUGAAGGAUGGUAGAUCAAACCAUUUGUGACUUUAGAAAACUUUCUGUAGCUAGCUAGCACUGUCCAAGAAAAACAUACGACUAAUUUGAUCUAUCUUCAAAGUUCUUCAAGAUUCAGUGGAAGGAAAGACUUGAGCCCCAACCACCCGCCCCCGCCCACCAGCACAGGGUUAUAGGCACAAACACAUCUGACACCAAAGUCUUAAGAGCUUAGAACAGCGGAUCUCCAUGCAUGGUCCCCAGAACAGCAGCUGCAACAGCAUCACCCAAGAACUUGUUAGGGAUGCAUAUUCUCAGGUACCCCUUAGCUCUAUCUAAUCAGAUACUCUGAGCCCCACCAUCUGGGUUUGGACAAACCCUCCUGAGACACUCAUGCCCAUUAAGGUGACUGUACAGGAAGCUUUAAAAUAUUCAGAUGCUCCCUUUCCGCUCCAAAGAUUCUGACUGGGUCCAGCCUAGCUGGGACCUGGGUACCUGUAUUUUAAAUGUCCCCAAGGUGACUCUAACCAUCACUAUUGAGAGGCACUGCCCCAGGGUGUGAAAAGUCCUGCAGUUUUGUUCCAUGACAGAGCUUCAUCCUCUUUCUCCUGCCUACUUGUCGUGCUUCCCUGCACACAGACAUCUGCCCUUACUCUGCAUGUUCAGCCUCUGCAGGAUGGGCUGGCCAAGCUUGGGAAAGGCUCAUUUUCAACGGCUCCAUAAACAUCAAGCUUCUUGUUAUUCACAGUGUUUUUGGGUUAGUUAUGGCUGUUAAUAUCACCAUCAAAUCAAAUCAGGAGAUUGCACGGCCAUGCUGUGAGAUUUCAUCCGGAUGUCUGCAACUCCCGCUGAAGUCCUAAUUAGGCGAAGUCACAUACUCUAUCUGAAAGGACUGCAGUUUGCCAAGAAGGGCCAUGCCAGUGCUAAAUAAGAAAAGGAGAAGCAGGAGGAAUCAAAGGAAAAAGACACUGGAACUUCAGAUGAAUCCACCCACUGUGUCCCUGCUCUUUAUGGAAGUCCACGUAAAAGCAGCUGUUUGGGUUGGAUCCAAAUUUGUACCUGGUAACCAGUCAGGGUCAGAUGCUACAUGUGGGCUGAGGCUGCAUUCCAUCCUUCCUUCCAAAACCAUGGUUCUCAACCUUCAAGGAUGAGGGUGUUUUUAAUGACAAAAUACUUCUCAGAGCCCUACCUAACAGUAAUUUUCCUUUUAGUUUUGAUGGGUGGGAAAAAAUCCACAAAGAAAUCUACUCUGAAUUCAUUACGCUUAUAAAUGAAUUUGAAGAGUCACACCGAUGCAGUAAACAUUUGUCUACUCAGCCUAGAGGCAAUGCUUGAGGCAUAAAUGGAUUCCAGGGCCCCCUACUGUCCUUCUCCAGCCCUGGAAGAACCACUGCCUGAUGGGAGCAGGGGUGAGUGGAACUUAGCAGUUGUUUUGUGCCAUUUUGUUUUUUGGGUUUUUUUGUAUAUAAAAGUCACAAUUUUCUUGUAUCCACUGUCAGCCAGAGCCUUAGAGCUGCUCAACCAUCACCAGGUGCCCUAUGAUAUCUAAAAUAAGCACCCUGAGGAAACCUGCACUGCUGGUAGGAAUGGAAAUUGGUGUAGUCAGUACAGAAAACAGUAUGAGUUUUUUUAAGAAUUAAAAAUAGCACUAUCAUACGAUCCAACAGUUCCACCCCUGGGUAUUUAUCUGAAAAAAACCAAAAACACUAAUUUGAAAAGAUACAUACACUCCAAUGUUCACAGCAACACUAUUUACAACAGCCAAGACAUGGAAGCAACCUAAGUCUUGCCUUAUAAGCAGAUGAUUGGAUAAUGAAGAUGGGGUAUAUAUACACAAAGGAAUAUUAUUUAGCCAUAAAAUAGAAUGAAAAUUUGCCAUUUGCUACAACAUGGAUGGACCUGUAGGAGAUCAUGCUUAGUGAAAUAACGCAGAGAAAGACAAUUACUCUAUGAUUUCACUUGUACAUGAAUCUAAAAAAAUAAAACCAACAAAUAGAUAUAACAAACAAAAAAACCAAAAGGCCCCUAGAUUCCUGUCUAUAUUUCUCUAAACCAUUCACUCUUGAAAAAUAAAUCUGGUCUAUUUAAUUGAAAUUAUGUAAGAGAAAGGACCAAACAAAUUAAGGUUGGCUCUUUCUUUUCUUGGAAUGACUUUAGCUUCCAUCUCCAAGGCUAGGCCACCUCCUCACUCUUCUAAUCUGGUAACAGCCCCCUAAGGAGCUCCCUGUCUCCUCCAGUCCCUUGUCCUCCUGUAAUAACAGUGGACAUUCUGAAAUGCAAGUCUGAUUGUGGCUUUUCCAGUCCCACCAUGGCCUUGUGAAAAAUCCAAAUUCCUGAGCAUGGUAUAGAGGGUGUUUCAUGAGCUGCCCCCUCCUCAUCUCACUGGUCUUCUGCUUAGCCUUUCCGAAUCUCCCUUUUCCCAACUAACUCUUACUCAUUUUCAUGCCUCAUCCUAACCAUCUUCUCCAUAAGCGCCUUCCAUAACCACCACUUUCUGGAUUAAGUUUCCCUGUUGGAUAUUUUCAUAGCACCCCAUCACUUCCCAAUCUUACCAUUCCAUCACACCACCUUUGCUCAUUCAAAUGAAUCCUAGGAGGUAUCAUAGAGUGAGAAAGCAGGAAAAAUGGAUUCAAGCGAGUUGUGUUCACACACGAGAUUAGAGAUAGUGGUCCCCAGAUAACAUUCUCCUUCUUGGCUGGUUCUUUUAGAUGAGUCUACAGAUGUCCGCCAAAACUAGUGGACACACAAAGGCAUUGUCCAUCCAUUUCCCUGGCUUGCCCCACUCUCCACCCUUGGGCAGGAUAUGACCAGCAUGGCCACUCUUUAGUAAUUGAGGAACUGGAGCUGUCCCCAUUGUUAGGAAGAUAUUAAAUGAAUAUUUAGCAACAUUUCUCUCUUCAGGGCUUGGGAUCCAGCGUCCUCCCAAGAAUUUCUUUUCUUUUCUUUUUUUCUGUCUUUUUGUCUUAUUAAGGCCGCACCAGGGCACAUGGAGGUUCCCAGGCUAGGGGUCCAAUGGGAGCUGUAGCUGCCAGCCCACACCACAGCCACAGCAGCGCCAGAUCCAAGCCAUAUCUGCAAGCUACACCACAGCUCAGGGCAAUGCUGGAUCCUCAACCCACUGAGCGAGUCCAGGGAUUGAACCCACAACCUCAUGUUUCCUCAUCGGAUUCGUUUCUGCUGCGCCACAAUGGGAACUCCCUUCCCAAGAAUUUCUAAGACCCGUCUGUUUCCACCAAGGGGACUAAAGAAAAGAUCUUUCUUUGAAGAACAAAUCAGAUCUUGUAUUUUCACAAAAGGGAAAAGGCAGAGUGAAUCAAUGCAAUUGGUCCUUCCCAGGGUCCUUCUUGAUAUUUAAAAUGGAGCAUUCCUGUGGAUAAUCCAAAAUAACACACAAUACUGAGAGUCAUCUUCCCUUGGCAUCUAAACAAAGCCUUGCAUAAUUUCAUAAUUCCCUUAUUAUGCUCAAUUCAUGGAGCUUUGGUAAGAUUAACAUGCCAUUUUCAGAAUAAAAGCUCUAAGCAAUCUAGGUAAACGUUCCAGACAGCAAACAUGUCUUUUUAAAAGAAAUAAAUAAUAAAUUUAUGUAUUUAUAUAACUUUUCCCAUUAGAAAACAAAAUAUGUUCGUUAUAUAUAUAUUCAAAAAUAUAGAUGGCCCUAAAGAAGAGAGUAAAUAAAAUUCAACAUUUCAACCAACGAGCCAGUGCU
rnacentral:lncRNA from 1 species